CUGGCAUUUUUGUUUCGUUUCCAUUCAGAGUGGAGCUAGUAUUUUCUUUACAUAUUAUGUUUGUAUAUUGAUAUUGCGGAGAUAUUUAUUGUAUUAUGUUCACAGUAACAGCAGCCUUAGCAGGUGGGUGAAUGAUGGUCUGUACACAGAGGUUGUGAACAAUCAUACAACUUUGCGUCGGUGGUUACUCAACCAAAUUGUAAGUACGCCUCUCCCUUUUCCACAUCGGGGCUCGUUAGAUGUCAUUUAACGCUGUCUUUUUUGUUAAGGUAAGCAUGAGUUGAUCCUUUAACCCUAAAACAAAUCGCUACAUGUGACGCUGCUGCUGUUUUGCUUACGGGGCAUUUGAUCUCUUUUGUUUCGCUUACUGGCAUUUGAUCUCUUUUGUUUCGCUUACUGGCAUUUUAUGUCUUUUGUUUUGCUUUGCUGCUCGCUUGGGCUCUCCGGUUAAGCGUCUCGCGUUUGCUGUGCUGCAUAUCAGCUCCUGUUUGUGUAGUUUGUUUCCCGCUUUGUGCUGUGUUUUGUCUUUUGUUGUCUUUAUAGAGAUCGCUAAGACAUGUGACCAACUGGGCUGCAACGUCAUCAGAACGCAAAGAAUUAUGGGAGCCAGUAAGUUCUUUGUGGGGAGCAUGGGAGGCUAGCUGUCUUGAUUCAGUGGUGUGCUUCACAAGUGUGUUAAGUGUGCCGGCACAACUUUAUGAUGGUGGCAUGUUCCAGAGUUGGGAACCCUUCACAGAAAAAAACUUUGAGUUGUUCUGUGAUAGUCAACCCUACAGAUACAUUCACUACUCCUUAAUGUUCUCAUACCAUCCUGUCUAUUUGGCAAUUUACACAACACCCGUGGGGCUUUAUUGUGCAGACAUUUAAACACCAAAUAUAUGUAUAUAUAUAUAUAUUGCAAUGAUGCACAUGAUUUGGUAUUUUUGUCCAUGAUUUUUAAAGUCUGAUUGUAAAGUGACAUUAUAUGAUUUACGGUGGAUUCGCUUGUUUGAGCCCAAACUGUAAUUCAAUAUGAAAUGAGACAAAAUUAUUGCAUGCAUAUAAAGCUGAGCCGCCUGCUUUUAAAUGUUUGAAAAUGUCUAAUUCAUUUGAAAUAAUGUAUGUUAAUCUUUUUUUUUAAGUUUCUUUACAUGUCUAUGAAAUGUGAGAUGAGAAUCUAAAAUUAUUCCUGAGAAUCUUCAUUUGUGAUGUUCCUUUUUGUUUUCUAUUAGAGAAACACAAACUGUUUUUCUGACGUUCAAUGAUGGUUAUUUUAGAGCCUCUGAGAUAUUCCCAAAGUUAGCUUUUAAAAUCUCAG